rnacentral:rRNA from 1 species
UUGAAGAUUGAAGGUUCAUUGGGUCUUGUCUAUGUUCCUUGGAAUAGGACAUCACAGAGGGUGAGAAUCCCGUGCGAUGAGAUUCCGUAUUGUAACCUUCUUUCGACGAGUCGAGUUGUUUGGGAAUGCAGCUCUAAGUGGGUGGUAAAUUCCAUCUAAAGCUAAAUAUUGGCGAGAGACCGAUAGCGAACAAGUACAGUGAUGGAAAGAUGAAAAGAACUUUGAAAAGAGAGUGAAAAAGUACGUGAAAUUGUUGAAAGGGAAGGAUAUGAGAUCAGACUUGGUAUUUUGCAACCUUACUCUCGUGGUGGGGCCCCUGCAGUUUACUGGGCCAGCAUCAAUUUGGAUGAUGGGAUAAUGACUCAGGAAUGUAGCUCUACUUCGGUGGAGUGUUAUAGCCUGUGUUGAUACCGUCUAUCUAGAUUGAGGACUGCGUCUUUUGACAAGGAUGUUGGCAUAAUGAUCUUAUAUCACCCGUCU